rnacentral:RNase_P_RNA from 1 species
GAGGAAAGUCCGGGCUCCGACGGGCAGGGUGCCAGGUAACGCCUGGGGGGCGAAAGCCUACGGAAAGUGCCACAGAAAAUAUACCGCCAAUGGCUUUGGCUGUUGGUAAGGGUGAAAUGGUGCGGUAAGAGCGCACCGCAUCACUGGUAACAGUGGUGGCAGGGUAAACCCCAUCCGGAGCAAGACCAAAUAGAGGAACCAAUACCUUAUGGGUAUUUGAAAGUGCGGCCCGCACUGUUCCUGGGUAGGUUGCAAGAGGUGUGCGGGGACGCACAUCUCAGAUGAAUGACUGUCCUUGACAGAACACGGCUUA